rnacentral:lncRNA from 1 species
UGGCCCUUGAUUCAUUUGAAAAUUGGGUUGAGGAAUUUGACAAUUUUGACCUUGGGUCCAUGAAAAAUUUGGGUGAUUUCUCCACCCGGGAUUAUAAGUGGGUGCAAACGCAUCAUUCCUAGGAUUUUGAAACAUCGCAUUUACUUGUUCAAGUUCGUGCGAAGGUUGGGUUGCGGGAUUUUGAAAAUUGUAACAAGGGUGCGUCGACAUUUGUGUGGGAGGUUUACUAGUUUCUAAAGCUUCAAGUCUCCUAGUUAGGGUAGCUAAUUUGGCAUCGGUUGCCACAUUGUUUCCUAUCGA